CCGGCGAUGUCCGAAUGGGGAAACCCAGUGCAAUUCGUUGCACUAUCGUUAACUGAAUACAUAGGUUAACGAGGCGAACCGGGGGAACUGAAACAUCUAAGUACCCCGAGGAAAAGAAAUCAACCGAGAUUCCCCCAGUAGCGGCGAGCGAACGGGGAGCAGCCCAGAGUCUGAAUCAGCUUGUGUGUUAGUGGAACGGUCUGGAAAGUCCGACGGUACAGGGUGAUAGUCCCGUACACCAAAAUGCACAGGCUGUGAACUCGAAGAGUAGGGCGGGACACGUGGUAUCCUGUCUGAAUAUGGGGGGACCAUCCUCCAAGGCUAAAUACUCCUGACUGACCGAUAGUGAACCAGUACCGUGAGGGAAAGGCGAAAAGAACCCCGGCGAGGGGAGUGAAAAAGAACCUGAAACCGUGUACGUACAAGCAGUGGGAGCACCUUCGGGUGUGACUGCGUACCUUUUGUAUAAUGGGUCAGCGACUUAUAUUCUGUAGCAAGGUUAACCGUAUAGGGGAGCCGCAGGGAAACCGAGUCUUAACUGGGCGUUAAGUUGCAGGGUAUAGACCCGAAACCCGGUGAUCUAGCCAUGGGCAGGUUGAAGGUUGGGUAACACUAACUGGAGGACCGAACCGACUAAUGUUGAAAAAUUAGCGGAUGACUUGUGGCUGGGGGUGAAAGGCCAAUCAAACCGGGAGAUAGCUGGUUCUCCCCGAAAGCUAUUUAGGUAGCGCCUCGUGAACUCAUCUUCGGGGGUAGAGCACUGUUUCGGCUAGGGGGUCAUCCCGACUUACCAACCCGAUGCAAACUACGAAUACCGAAGAAUGUUAUCACGGGAGACACACGGCGGGUGCUAACGUCCGUCGUGAAGAGGGAAACAACCCAGACCGCCAGCUAAGGUCCCAAAGUCAUGGUUAAGUGGGAAACGAUGUGGGAAGGCACAGACAGCCAGGAUGUUGGCUUAGAAGCAGCCAUCAUUUAAAGAAAGCGUAAUAGCUCACUGGUCGAGUCGGCCUGCGCGGAAGAUGUAACGGGGCUAAACCAUGCACCGAAGCUGCGGCAGCGACACUAUGUGUUGUUGGGUAGGGGAGCGUUCUGUAAGCCUGCGAAGGUGACCUGUGAGGGUUGCUGGAGGUAUCAGAAGUGCGAAUGCUGACAUAAGUAACGAUAAAGCGGGUGAAAAGCCCGCUCGCCGGAAGACCAAGGGUUCCUGUCCAACGUUAAUCGGGGCAGGGUGAGUCGACCCCUAAGGCGAGGCCGAAAGGCGUAGUCGAUGGGAAACAGGUUAAUAUUCCUGUACUUGGUGUUACUGCGAAGGGGGGACGGAGAAGGCUAUGUUAGCCGGGCGACGGUUGUCCCGGUUUAAGCAUGUAGGCUGGUUAUCCAGGCAAAUCCGGAUAAUCAAGGCUGAGGUGUGAUGACGAGGCACUACGGUGCUGAAGUAACAAAUGCCCUGCUUCCAGGAAAAGCCUCUAAGCAUCAGGUAACAUCAAAUCGUACCCCAAACCGACACAGGUGGUCAGGUAGAGAAUACCAAGGCGCUUGAGAGAACUCGGGUGAAGGAACUAGGCAAAAUGGUGCCGUAACUUCGGGAGAAGGCACGCUGGUGUGUAGGUGAAGUCCCUGCGGAUGGAGCUGAGACCAGUCGAAGAUACCAGCUGGCUGCAACUGUUUAUUAAAAACACAGCACUGUGCAAACACGAAAGUGGACGUAUACGGUGUGACGCCUGCCCGGUGCCGGAAGGUUAAUUGAUGGGGUUAUCCGUAAGGAGAAGCUCUUGAUCGAAGCCCCGGUAAACGGCGGCCGUAACUAUAACGGUCCUAAGGUAGCGAAAUUCCUUGUCGGGUAAGUUCCGACCUGCACGAAUGGCGUAAUGAUGGCCAGGCUGUCUCCACCCGAGACUCAGUGAAAUUGAACUCGCUGUGAAGAUGCAGUGUACCCGCGGCAAGACGGAAAGACCCCGUGAACCUUUACUAUAGCUUGACACUGAACAUUGAGCCUUGAUGUGUAGGAUAGGUGGGAGGCUUUGAAGCGUGGACGCCAGUCUGCGUGGAGCCAACCUUGAAAUACCACCCUUUAAUGUUUGAUGUUCUAACGUUGGCCCCUGACCGGGGUUGCGGACAGUGUCUGGUGGGUAGUUUGACUGGGGCGGUCUCCUCCCAAAGCGUAACGGAGGAGCACGAAGGUUAGCUAAUCCUGGUCGGACAUCAGGAGGUUAGUGCAAUGGCAUAAGCUAGCUUGACUGCGAGCGUGACGGCGCGAGCAGGUGCGAAAGCAGGUCAUAGUGAUCCGGUGGUUCUGAAUGGAAGGGCCAUCGCUCAACGGAUAAAAGGUACUCCGGGGAUAACAGGCUGAUACCGCCCAAGAGUUCAUAUCGACGGCGGUGUUUGGCACCUCGAUGUCGGCUCAUCACAUCCUGGGGCUGAAGUAGGUCCCAAGGGUAUGGCUGUUCGCCAUUUAAAGUGGUACGCGAGCUGGGUUUAGAACGUCGUGAGACAGUUCGGUCCCUAUCUGCCGUGGGCGCUGGAGAAUUGAGGGGGGCUGCUCCUAGUACGAGAGGACCGGAGUGGACGCAUCACUGGUGUUCGGGUUGUCAUGCCAAUGGCACUGCCCGGUAGCUAAAUGCGGAAGAGAUAAGUGCUGAAAGCAUCUAAGCACGAAACUUGCCCCGAGAUGAGUUCUCCCUGAGACUUUAAGUCUCCUGAAGGAACGUUAAAGACGAUGACGUUGAUAGGCCGGGUGUGUAAGCGCAGCGAUGCGUUGAGCUAACCGGUACUAAUGAACCGUGAGGCUUAACCUU
rnacentral:rRNA from 1 species